rnacentral:pre_miRNA from 1 species
UUAAAAAGGGCCUGAUCCAAAGCCUAUUGAAGUCAAUGUGAGACUUUCCAUUAACUUCAAUGAGCUUUGGAUCAGGCCCGUAAUGA